rnacentral:rRNA from 1 species
CCUACGGGAGGCAGCAGUAGGGAAUCUUCCGCAAUGGACGAAAGUCUGACGGAGCAACGCCGCGUGAACGAUGAAGGCCUUCGGGUCGUAAAGUUCUGUUGUUAGGGAAGAACAAGUGCUAGUUGAAUAAGCUGGCACCUUGACGGUACCUAACCAGAAAGCCACGGCUAACUACGUGCCAGCAGCCGCGGUAAUACGUAGGUGGCAAGCGUUGUCCGGAAUUAUUGGGCGUAAAGCGCGCGCAGGCGGUUUCUUAAGUCUGAUGUGAAAGCCCCCGGCUCAACCGGGGAGGGUCAUUGGAAACUGGGAAACUUGAGUGCAGAAGAGGAAAGUGGAAUUCCAAGUGUAGCGGUGAAAUGCGUAGAGAUUUGGAGGAACACCAGUGGCGAAGGCGACUUUCUGGUCUGUAACUGACGCUGAGGCGCGAAAGCGUGGGGAGCAAACAGGAUUAGAUACCCUGGUAGUCCACGCUGUAAACGAUGAGUGCUAAGUGUUAGAGGGUUUCCGCCCUUUAGUGCUGAAGUUAACGCAUUAAGCACUCCGCCUGGGGAUACGGUCGCAAGACUUGAAACUUAAGGAAUUGACGG